GAUGAACGCUGGCGGCAGGCUUAACACAUGCAAGUCGAGCGGGGAAGGGUAGCUUGCUACCUAACCUAGCGGCGGACGGGUGAGUAAUGCUUAGGAAUCUGCCUAUUAGUGGGGGACAACAUUCCGAAAGGAAUGCUAAUACCGCAUACGCCCUACGGGGGAAAGCAGGGGAUCUUCGGACCUUGCGCUAAUAGAUGAGCCUAUGUCAGAUUAGCUAGUUGGUGGGGUAAACGCCUACCAAGGCGACGAUCUGUAGCGGGUCUGAGAGGAUGAUCCGCCACACUGGGACUGAGACACGGCCCAGACUCCUACGGGAGGCAGAAGUGGGGAAUAUUAGACAAUGUGCGUAAGCCUGAUCCUGCCAUGCCGCGUGGUUGAAGAAGGCCUUUUGGUUGUAAAGCACUUUAAGCGAGGAGGAGGCUACCGAGAUUAAUCCCUUGCUGUUUUGACGCUACCGACAGAAUAAGCACCCGCUAACUCUGUGCCAGCCGCCCCGGUAA
rnacentral:rRNA from 1 species